rnacentral:rRNA from 1 species
AUUGAACGCUGGCGGCAGGCUUAACACAUGCAAGUCGAACGAGUGGCGGACGGGUGAGUAAUGCUUGGGAAUCUAGCUUAUGGAGGGGGAUAACUACGGGAAACUGUAGCUAAUACCGCGUACCAUAGGAUGAGCCCAAGUGGGCUUAGGUAGUUGGUGUGGUAAAGGCUCACCAAGCCGACGAACUCUAGCUGGUCUGAGAGGAUGACCAGCCACACUGGGACUGAGACACGGCCCAGACUCCUACGGGAGGCAGCAGUGGGGAAUAUUGCGCAAUGGGGGAAACCUGACGCAGCCAUGCCGCGUGAAUGAAGAAGGCCUUCGGGUUGUAAAGUUCUUUCGGUAGCGGGGCGUUAACUACAGAGGAAGCACCGGCUAACUCCGUGCCAGCCGCCGCGGUAAUAC